GCGGCCGUAGCUCAACUGGAUAGAGCAUCGGUCUUCGGAACCGAGGGUUGAGGGUUCGAAUCCUUCCGGCCGCGCCA
rnacentral:tRNA from 1 species